rnacentral:rRNA from 1 species
GUGUACCCGCGGCAAGACGGAAAGACCCCGUGAACCUUUACUAUAGCUUGACACUGAACAUUGAGCCUUGAUGUGUAGGAUAGGUGGGAGGCUUUGAAGUGUGGACGCCAGUCUGCAUGGAGCCGACCUUGAAAUACCACCCUUUAAUGUUUGAUGUUCUAACGUUGACCCGUAAUCCGGGUUGCGGACAGUGUCUGGUGGGUAGUUUGACUGGGGCGGUCUCCUCCUAAAGAGUAACGGAGGAGCACGAAGGUUGGCUAAUCCUGGUCGGACAUCAGGAGGUUAGUGCAAUGGCAUAAGCCAGCUUGACUGCGAGCGUGACGGCGCGAGCAGGUGCGAAAGCAGGUCAUAGUGAUCCGGUGGUUCUGAAUGGAAGGGCCAUCGCUCAACGGAUAAAAGGUACUCCGGGGAUAACAGGCUGAUACCGCCCAAGAGUUCAUAUCGACGGCGGUGUUUGGCACCUCGAUGUCGGCUCAUCACAUCCUGGGGCUGAAGUAGGUCCCAAGGGUAUGGCUGUUCGCCAUUUAAAGUGGUACGCGAGCUGGGUUUAGAACGUCGUGAGACAGUUCGGUCCCUAUCUGCCGUGGGCGCUGGAGAACUGAGGGGGGCUGCUCCUAGUACGAGAGGACCGGAGUGGACGCAUCACUGGUGUUCGGGUUGUCAUGCCAAUGGCACUGCCCGGUAGCUAAAUGCGGAAGAGAUAAGUGCUGAAAGCAUCUAAGCACGAAACUUGCCCCGAGAUGAGUUCUCCCUGAC